AAGUCGUAACAAGGUUUCCGUAGGUGAACCUGCGGAAGGAUCAUUAAGGGGAGUUUUUAGGGGCUCUGUCCCCGUCCUCCCAUCCGUGAUUACAUUAGGCCCUGAUCUACCUUGGCGGGCCACCGGCAGGCCAGCGGCCCGGCCGCGGCCCGAUCCGGCCGGGAUCCGCCAGGACGGACCGCAAACAAAACCCCUAUUUUUAAACGUGUCGUCCGAGCAAAAUGACAAACAAGUCAAAA
rnacentral:misc_RNA from 1 species